UACGUAGGGGGCAAGCGUUGUCCGGAAUUAUUGGGCGUAAAGAGCGCGUAGGCGGUCCGGUAAGUCGGCUGUGAAAGUCAAGGGCUCAACCCUUGAAAGCCGGCCGAUACUGUCGGACUAGAGUCCGGAAGAGGCGAGUGGAAUUCCCGGUGUAGCGGUGAAAUGCGCAGAUAUCGGGAGGAACACCAAUGGCGAAGGCAGCUCGCUGGGACGGUUCUGACGCUGAGGCGCGAAAGCGUGGGGAGCAAACAGG
rnacentral:rRNA from 1 species